rnacentral:rRNA from 1 species
UACAGAGGGGGGCAAGCGUUGUUCGGAAUUACUGGGCGUAAAGGGGCGCGUAGGCGGCCCCGCUAAGUCGAACGUGAAAAUCCCCCGGGGCUCAACCCCGGGAACUGCGUCCGAUACUGGCAGGCUUGAAUCCGGGGAGAGGGAUGCGGAAUUCCAGGUGUAGCGGUGAAAUGCGUAGAUAUCUGGAGGAACACCGGUGGCGAAGGCGGCAUCCUGGACCGGUAUUGACGCUGAGGCGCGAAAAGCUAGGGGGAGCAAACGGG